rnacentral:rRNA from 1 species
AUUGAACGCUGGCGGCAGGCCUAACACAUGCAAGUCGAGCGAGCGGCGGACGGGUGAGUAAUGUAUGGGGAACUGCCCGAUAGAGGGGGAUAACUACUGGAAACGGUGGCUAAUACCGCAUACUAUCGGAUGAACCCAGAUGGGAUUAGCUAGUAGGUGGGGUAAAGGCUCACCUAGGCGACGAUCCCUAGCUGGUCUGAGAGGAUGAUCAGCCACACUGGGACUGAGACACUGCCCAGAGUCCUACGUGAGGCAGCAGUGGGGAUUAUUGCACAAUGGGCGCAAGCCUGAUGCAGCCAUGCCGCGUGUAUGAAUAAGGCCUUAGGGUUGUAAAGUACUUUCAGCUGGGAGGCGUUACCCGCAGAAGAAGCACCGGCUAACUCCGUGCCAGCAGCCGCGGUAAUUC